AGGUGUUGCAUGGCUGUCGUCAGCUCGUGUCGUGAGAUGUUCGGUUAAGUCCGCUAACGAGCGCAACCCUCGUCGUAUGUUUAUAUGUGUCAUACGAGGACUGCCGGUAAAAGCCGGAGGAAGGUGAGGAUGAUGUCGAAGUCAGCAUGACCUUUAUAUCCACGGGCUACACACACGCUACAAUGGUCUGUACAAUGGGUAGCCAAGCCGCGAGGCGGAGCCAAUCCUGAAAGCAGGCCUCAGUUCAGAUUGCAGGUCUGCAACUCGACCUGCAUGAAGCCGGAGUUGCUAGUAACCGCAGGUCAGCAAUACUGCGGUGAAUACGUUCCCGGGUCUU
rnacentral:rRNA from 1 species